rnacentral:rRNA from 1 species
UACGGGGGGAGCAAGCGUUGUUCGGAUUUACUGGGCGUAAAGGGCGCGUAGGCGGCCACCGCAAGUCAGUUGUGAAAGCUCUGGGCUUAACCCAGAAAGGUCAACUGAUACUGCGGGGCUAGAGUGCAGAAGGGGCAACUGGAAUUCUCGGUGUAGCGGUGGAAAUGCGUAGAUAUCGAGAGGAACACCUGCGGCGAAGGCGGGUUGCUGGGCUGACACUGACGCUGAACUGCGAAAGCUAGGGGAGCGAACGGG